rnacentral:rRNA from 1 species
GAUGAACGCUAGCGGCAGGCUUAACACAUGCAAGUCGAGGGGUAGAGGCUUUCGGGCCUUGAGACCGGCGCACGGGUGCGUAACGCGUAUGCAAUCUGCCUUGUACUGGGGGAUAGCCCAGAGAAAUUUGGAUUAAUACCCCAUAGUAUUUUCGGUUGGCAUCAACUGAUUAUUAAAGUUUUUCGGUACAAGAUGAGCAUGCGUCCCAUUAGCUAGUUGGUAUGGUAACGGCAUACCAAGGCUACGAUGGGUAGGGGUCCUGAGAGGGAGAUCCCCCACACUGGUACUGAGACACGGACCAGACUCCUACGGGAGGCAGCAGUGAGGAAUAUUGGUCAAUGGUCGCAAGACUGAACCAGCCAUGCCGCGUGCAGGAUGAAGCAUCUAUGGUGUGUAAACUGCUUUUGUACGGGAAGAAACACUGCUACGUGUAGCAGCUUGACGGUACCGUAAGAAUAGGGAUCGGCUAACUCCGUGCCAGCAGCCGCUGUAACAC